CCAUUUUAUUUCCUUUCAACUCUUCUCUUCCCAUUGAUAAAAAAAACUCUUCUCUUCCCAGGUUAAAAAAAAACUCUUCUCUUCCUCCUCUCAAAAAAAGAAAAAAACUCUUCUCUUCCCAAUCCAGAGCAGCGGCAUAGGGAGGCAGCUCGGGCUCCGCCGGACGACAACAUGCGCCGCUGUCAGCGCGACGGCGGAGGCUUAUGGGCUGCAGCAGCGGAUCGAGAUGGUAGGUGGAGUUCCACGGGGAGGAUCUCGUCCCCAGCAUGACGCAGGCCUGCGGGAGCAGCGGCUCAGUGCGGGAGCACGCGGCUCACCACGGUGGGCAGGCGCGGAUGGAGGCCUCGAUGGUGCUGGGAUCCCGGCAACCGAUGCGCGAAUCGAGGUGGGGCUAGUGGCUGGCGAGGUGUGCGUCGGCACACGCCGAAUUUCCAUCUCGAGGGUCCUCGGCUCCCAUCGUUAUGCCGCUUGCUCCAACCUCUUCUGCCUCCUCCUCGAGUAGCCGAAGAACAUCAAGGUGAGGACCUGAACAUCAUGCCGUAGAUGUUGCAAGCUCGAGGAGGACAUUUGUUUUCCGUGGUUCUCUCUCUCUUUAAGCAAGACGCCAGACAGCUCUAGGCGAGCCCUGCUGCCACAAUACAGCAAAGUGCUUCAUGGAACCUUUAGGACUUGAAGGAAAAGUGGGGAGGACUGCAAGCAAGGGGAGCAAAAUUGAACACGACCGCGAGGAGCAUGGCAGAUUUGGAAACAGAGAAACGGUCUUAUCUUUGAAAAUCGCCCUGCAAGUCUCAACAGUUGGAGAAGAAGUUUCAAGGAUGAAUGUACAAACCAAGCAGUUAGAUUCAAAGUUACCCAAAAAAACAUCUUUUUAACUUGGGUCAAUAGCUCUCUUUAGUUUUCUCUGCCUCCACCUGUUCUCUGGAGCUCCUCUGAUGUACAGUCUUUUCUCCUCCCUCUCUCUUUAGCUUACAUGGGCUUUAAACUACUUCUGUAAGUAUUUCCUCUUUGUGUUUUGAGCUUAAUAAAGCUUUUUUUCACAGCGGGGGCCUCCCUCGCUGUGUACAGUUCAAAAAAAA